UCAGAUCUGAUUUUGGAACGGAGUCCAAACGGAAUAAAAUCCCCGAAAUGAUUUUUUCCCGAACGCAAGAAGACUAGGGAGCCUUUGGGCCAGGCCAGGUGGGUCCCAGGGAGCCCACAAGCUUGCACCACACCACCAGGGGGAGGCGGUGGUGGGCAAGCUUGUGGCUUUCCUGGCCACCUCCUGACCUAGGUUUUGCGCCUAUAUAUUCCCAAGUAUUCCGCAAAAAAUCAGGGGAGCCUCGAAAAUACUUUUCCGCCGCC
rnacentral:lncRNA from 1 species